GUAAAAAGCUUCAGAAAUUAUGUUCUUCAGAGAAUCACAAUGUCUAUAUAAGAGAGAAAAAGGAGAAGAAGCAAUCGUCUGAUUCUCCUUCUUUGAGAGCGUUACUAAGAGGUUCUGUUAUCAUGACAUGACCAAUUGCAGAUAAUUUUCCCAAAUUAACACUUGUUCUUGAGAAGAUUGGGCGGACGAAUUUGGGAUAAAGACUUGUACUCUCUUCUUCAGUUAUUGCUCUUCUUUGUUUUAUUAUUUUGGUAAUUGAAAGUGAAAAGCGGAAGUGUAGGGUUAUUGGAGAGGAGACAGUCCCUCUGAUUGGUGUUUUAUAAGACAACUGAAACUUUGGGUGUUGUAAGAUCGAAGUUUUGAGGAUUUUGGAGUAAUUUUUGUGUAUUCCAGUUUUUGGAAGUUUCUGCAGGACAGUUAUAGAGGAGGGGCUCCAGAUGUUUUGGUGUGGACUAUGUUAAGUUUUACAACCCUAAAUGUUAGAAGCAGGG